UUUAACUGAAGAGUUUGAUCAUGGCUCAGAUUGAACGCUGGCGGCAGGCUUAACACAUGCAAGUCGAGCGGGGGAAGGUAGCUUGCUACUGGACCUAGCGGCGGACGGGUGAGUAAUGCUUAGGAAUCUGCCUAUUAGUGGGGGACAACAUCUCGAAAGGGAUGCUAAUA
rnacentral:rRNA from 1 species